UCCCGACCCCCCUUCUCCGCAGUCUUCUUGGCGCCUCCUGUUUUCCUCCCAGCCGUCCUAGGGUCUUUCCAGAUCGCUGCUGUCUUCGAGGGGGUCCUCGAGAGGCCCCUCCUUUCCGGUUCCCCCAGUGGAUUCUGCGCACCCCGCCCCGGCCCUGGGCUUGGGGAACUCCUGCUCAGGUUCUGGAAACCCCAAGACCUUUCUCCGGAUUAGCCGGCAGCGCGUGGGUUGCUGCCUUGACCUCCACCUGCAGGGAAGCUGCCCAGCCUGGCUUCCGUCGCCGGCGCCUCCCUGCAGAUCCUCGCUGGCUGGGCGCGUUGGUUCAGGGUGCGGAAAGAAGGAAUUAGGAGCCGGCGGGGAAGGUGAAGCCACCGGAGCUCCAGGAGUCCUUAUUAGAUACCAAUCACUUGAUAGUUCUGUGGUCAAGGUCUGGGCCGCCCUGAAGCGGUCGCAAGGCACGGGAGGGAAGAGACGGUUUGUAACCUGGAUUGUGCGCUCUGCCGCGCUCCAGGUGCCUGCCGACGCGGAGCGGUUCUUAACUGUUCCGAAACUUUCUGUAGCUCCCUACAUUCGAUGAGGACAUAACUCGCAGUUUCUCAUCGAGCACUGAAAGCCGAGCGCAGAAAACUUUGUCGUGGGGCUUUCAGCCGUCCAGGCCCCACCCCCGCCUCGCUCACCUGGGCAGCACCGCAGGUGGUGCGGACAUUAGAGGGCCGGCCCACCCCCACUGUGGGCAGAGUCUGGCUCUUCAGAUAACGCCUUCCUGAUUCCCAGGCCUGGGUGGGGAGCGAACUUGUAACCCCUGUGCAUUUUUUCCCCCAAAUGAAGUUUCCUUUAAAAGUGUUCUUUAUUAUUAGGAAGGCCAAACAUACUCGUUACAAAACCUAGAGGAAACAUCAAGAAACAGCGCCUUGUAGCUCUCAUUAAGCUACUUAUUAUUAGACUUGUCUCAUCCAUCGAUUCGCUAAAAAACUUUUUUUUUUUUUUUUUUUUUUUUUGCAUAGCUGGUUUAUUUCGUUAGGAACAAGAGCGGAAAGUAAUGGAUUAGGUCCUGGAUUGGCUCCCGCAGGAGCUCAAAGGUCUGCUGGGAAGAGAGGCAGACUUCAAACCGUCGGAUGAGGUGGUGUGUGGGCCCUGGAGACUCGCUGGGCACUGAGGACCCCAUAGGAGACCUCGGUUGAUCCAACCACUCCACCCAGCUACCCCACGGGGACGUUGCCAUCAGAGGACAUCCUGGGCACAGGCUGCAGCUCGGGCUCUUAGGCAGUGUGGGGAGGUGAGGGCAAGCUCUGAGGACCUGCACGUUGCGGACCUCAUUCCGGAAGUGGGAGGGGCCGCCGAAGGGUUAGCGCUGGGGAGCUGUGGAACGGGUUUUAGAUGGGUCGCUACUUGGAUUUUACUUAGGAGUUGUGAGGUGGGGGAGUGGGGUGGGUUGAGGAUGGGGGGAUGGAGUGGCAGGAGGAGCCGACAAUUAGCUCCUGCAGGACAGGGAUCGUUAUUUCCAGUCCUCUCAGAGCUUUGGGGAGUUGGAGGGAAGACUGAGAUCCUGAAGUUGGGGAGGUGAGUUUGGGUAAUGUAUUGGGAGCAGGUGAGCUAAGCGCGGGUGGAGACCGUUAGGAGGCAGUGGGAAAGUUCAGAGGAGGGGGACACAUUGGGGUACAAAGGGUACCUGGUGGUGGUAACAGGAAGGAGGAGAAGUCAGCAGCAGCCAAAUUGGAGGUCUGCAUUCAUUCAUUCCUCGGACAGUUGGUGAGAGAUUGCUCUGUGUCACGUAGGGUGCAGCAUCUGGAGGGUAGGAGAUGAGAGGAGACCAACCAGCUCUAUCCUUGGAAGGUCACAAAGAGAACUGAGGAACCCAGGAACAGACAGCUAGGUACAGCCUUGGAAUCUUCACUCAAGUAGAGACGUAGUCUGUGAAAAACAAGGAGUGCAGAGCCUGUCUGCAGAUCAGCCCAAGGUUUCUCAGGGUGGGGGACACUGUCCUGGCUGCCUUUGGGAGAUGAGGUCAGUGGACAGGUGGAGGAGAAAAUCUCAGGCACAAACAACUGUUUUCAGAAGGUGUAGAAACCUGAAGCCACGGGCUGGUGGCUAUGUCAGGAAACUAUAGGUAGGGCCUGAUCUGGGAAGAGAAUGGAGGAGCAGGACGGAGAAGCAGGGCUUGCCUUGAGCCCAGUGCCACGUGGGACCAAGCGGAGAAAUCAAAGCAGUGCCUUGAUCGGCAUCCAUGAAGAUGGUUCUAUCUCAUUGUUCAAAACUGGUCUCAUUGUGCUGCUUUCUCCAGAGUCCUCUGUCUUGGGAGAACAGGUGUAAGGAGAAGGGCUUUCUGUAACCCCCAAACCUGCACUCAGCACUGGCAGGAGGAGCUCAGUAAAUAUUCCAGAUCAUGCUGGAAACUACUGCUCUGUAGUACUCAACUGAGUCCUGAAGAAAGUAAUCCACAGAAGAACUCAAGGCGCGUUGCCAUUGUUACUAUGACAAGCAUUAUUUGCCCCCAAGGGACAAUGAGGUCUGAAUGAUUUCGAAUAUAUUCCAGGGUCUUUAUCUUGGGAUUCAGGGUGGAGAUCCAAGUUCCAGAUUUGAUUCCACAUCUGCUUUAGAUUGUACAGUUCCUCGCUGACCUCAGCCACCUUCCCUCAAAUUGAGCAUGUAGAUAAAAAUGCACAAAAGUCUCCUCCAUUCUGGUAAUAGCAGGAUGGCGCAAUAAGCCUCUGGGCCAAAAUGUGUUUGCUACAGGCAAUCAGGAAGGGGGAAAUGGAAAGAAAUAUGAUUUGGUUUAACUGGAGGAGGAAAAUCUUGGUAAGCCCUGAGUCAGAGAUCACAUGGAGGCAGCCAGGCCUUCCAGGCUUUGUGGAGCUGUAUGGAGGAAACAGCCCCCCUUCCAUCCAUGCUCGGGUGGGGUCCAGUUUCUGCGGAAAAUCCCCAGGUUCACUUUGGUUCUUUUGCGCCCCCUGCUGAUAACGUUGGAACACUGGGUUCCUAGGCCAACUGGAGAUCAGUCCACACCCUUCCUGGGAUGGUUUAUUUGUCCACUGUGGGCAGCAGGCAGGAUCACCCCAAGGUCUUCUCAGCCACCAUGGCCUUGGCCAUCUUCGUUAAUCUUCUAGAUCUUUUUUGCUGCUCCUCAUACUAAAUCCCAGUGGCACUGCCUCAUGAGAUCUCUGUUAGUACCUCAGUGUCUUUUUUCCCUGGGUCACCUCAUCUGAGUGUCUUGUGUGUGACUCAUUGUCUUCCAUCAGCUUCCUGUUUGUGGGCACAGUUCAGUGGUAUACUCCAAAGUACACUUGCUUUGUUUAAUUUCUCUGCUCUGAAUCUCAUGUCUCUGGCUGGCCCAUAACAGGCCCUCAGUAAACAUUUGUGGAAUAACUGCAGGAUAUAUAUCACCUUCUGCUUCCUUCUCAGCUCUUGCCUUGGGCUUAUGGCUCCUCCCAUGUUUCCCUUGUGAGCUCCCUCUCUGUAAAUUCAAGUCUUGAUAUCUGUUCAAUUACUGCCCCCCGCCCCCCAUCCCCAAAAUGUGUGUGCCACUUUACAUGACACAGAGGAUGGUGUAGAUGGGAUUAAAUUAAAGGAUCCUGAGAUGGGAUGGGGUAGGAUAGAAAAAUAAACAUAGAAAGGAGAAAAGGGGAAUCAAUUUUUAAAUGGUACUUUUAAGAAAACUCCAACUUCAGGACAAAUCAGUUACCCAAGGUAUUUCAUAUCGUUACUCUCUAGGCUUUUUAUAGUGUACUUCUUUUCCAGGCCCAUCCCACCCCAAGUCUCUUAAACUUUGCCUUAAUUUACUUGCUGAGGUAAAGAACAGAAAUCUGACCUUGAAAAGUACUAUAGACUGUGUCAUGCCUUUGUCCUGUGAAGUAGCCCAUUGUCUUCCUACCUGUGGGUGGGUCUUGGCAUUUCUCCUACAAACAAAGCCCGAACUUUCUAUAGAUUCACAGAUUCCACAGAUUUCUACUCCCUAAAUAGCUGGAAGUCUUGACUGUAGUAGCCUGUUUCUUGAGGGCUUGCACUGCUUUUUUUUUUUCUUGUUAAAAUUCUGGCUAGUAUUUCUCUUUACGCUGCCUACUGAUGCAUCCUGAAGAUUCUCUUUCUGCAACGGAAGUCAGCAAACCUGCAACCUGCCUGCUAGAUGGGGUGAGUCAAGGUUCCCCAUCUGUGCUUUGGGGGCCUUUUUAGACCCUGUCUGGUGAUGACAGGGUAAUCACAAAGGUUCUUUCAGGAAAGAAGUGAGAAUGAGACCUAAGCAGAGGCCGAGGGAGGCGGACCACUCCUGCAAGGUGGAAAAGGGGAAGAAUGAAUUGUUCCCCUGGGCUGCUGUGAGGCACAGCUGCAGCUCUGCUAACUUGUUUUAGACUUCUGACCUCUGGAACUAUGAAAUAAACAUCUGGCGUUAUUUUAAGCCACUAAACUUGUAGUGAUUUGUUAUAGGAGCAAUAAAAAAUCCACACAGUUAUAAAAAUAAUAAACAUUAGGAUCGGCGAUCGUCAUCUCUGUCAUCUCUGAGGGCCUCCUCCGUAGCCCUCUCAGCCUCCCAAGCCUCCCACACCCGGGACUCUUCCUCCUUCCCUAGCCUCACACCUGCCGAGCCAAUACAAUGGCAACUCUCCCACUCUCCUUUCUAUCUGCCAUCUACCUGUCCAGUCUGCAAUUUGUUGGGUGGAUUGUCCUGCAGCGUCACUCAUGCUCUAUUUAUUUAUUUUUUUAGGUUUGGAUAUCUUUAUUUUGUUCUUUUGAGACAUGGUUUUAUAGGAAAAUGCAUAUGUACUCCUGUUGGAGCCAGAGCUGUGACAGGCCAAGGCAGAGAGCUGGCUGUGCCCCCACCCUCUCUUGUCUGGCCAAGUGGCCUUGCUUUGUAUGCUUUUGUGGAGGCAAAUUCCACCUCUGAGGAACUGACUAUUGCAUACUCACCCAAGUCCUAAGUGACUCAAAGUUAGAACACUGUGGUCUGCUCUGCUCACACUCAUAAGUUCUUUCCUUUUUCUUUUCUGUUUUUUUCCUUUGAGACAAGGUCUGGCUAAGUUGCCUAGCCUGGCCUUGAACUCACAAUCCUUCUGCCUCAACGUCUUGAGUGCUGAGAUUAUAGAUGUGCUUUACUAUGCACAUAUAGUAAACCAUUGUUUCUUUAUUUUAAUUUUUAAAAAUUUAUUUUAAAGAGGAUAAAACCAAAGAAAAUAAAACAAAACCAAUCAAAAUAAACCAGUAUAAGUGAUACAGGACUUCAAAACCUUACAAAAUCAAUAAUAGUUAUCAUAAUGCCUUUUGUUGUCUUCAAAAUAGCUGUAGAAGCCGGGGAUUUAGCUCAGUGACCUGAGCUCCUGCCUGGCAAACGCAAGGUUGUGAGUUUGAUCCCUGGUACCAAAAAAAAAAAAAAAAAGCUGCAGAUACCUUUCGACAUACUAAAAAAUCGAAUAAAAACAAUACAAUGAAUGCAAUAAAGAACUUCAAAACAAGCUAGUAGUAAAUCCAAAAUGGCUACCAUAAUGUCUUCCUAUCUUUCAAAUAGCUGCUCAUGCCAUCAGAUUUAGUGUAAUCAAACAAAAGAGAAUAAAACCUGUUAUGGUUUAAGAACUGGUGAUCAACUUAACGCCAACUGGAUUACAUUAGCAUGGCAUUGGGUGAAGAUGCUGCACCUGAGGAAAGUUGCCAGGAUAAAUAAGUGUAGAAGGGAGGUGUGGAGGGGUUGAGGCAUUGUGGGUUCUCCUACGAGUUGCUGUCUGAGCUGCUGGUUCUCCUGGAGAAGCUCUGGUCCUCACAUCAAGCAUUGCUUCCUGGCUCCGGAGGGGAAGACAUGUGCUGCUUGGUCUCCAGGAUGAACUCGUCAUGCUGCUUCCUGGCACGUACCUGACUGUGCUUGUGGUCGGAGGAGCUUGGGGCCUUCCAGGACAGCCCUGCUCUUUGUUGUGAGUGUGACUUCUCAGCUCCAGCGUAGAACCCUCAUCCCACUAGCACAGCUCCUGCAUCCUGCUGGCAUAGACUUUCUGGCUUUCACCGCUGACCCUUGGGUCUUCCCGGCACGGAUCUGUAAAAGAGACUGGUCUUUGGGGGUCUGAUCAACCCUCAGUAACUGAUGCUUGGAAAAGGGACACUGAGAUCUAGGAGGGAAUUACCCACUGGAGUGAGAAAGGAGAAGAAAUAGUUAUCAGUGAACUCUGUGGGGCGAAUGCAUCUAUUCAAAAAAAUGGAAGACAGUUUUACUAUAUUGUCAAGACGGACCUCAAAUUUGCCUGCUCCUGCUUCAGCCUCCUGAAUAGUUGGGAUUACAGGGGCUCCUGAGUCCGGGCACUUUGAGGGCCAUGUCUCUCCUACCCCGCUGCUCUCCUCUGAGGGGGAGACCACCCUGUGUGGCCUGAGGUGUGAGCCUGGACCACAGAGCUGGACCUCUCCCUGGAUCAGCUCACACCUAGCAUUUCCUGACGGAGGAACUGUGAACUUUGUACGUGGGGAGAUCAAAAACAUGGUGAAUGUUUAAAUAAAAAUCAUUACAGUAAAAACUUACACUGCCAUUAAUCCUUGUCACAUUACUCACUCAAAUGUGCUUAUCUCCUUGUUCUUGCUACUUUCUGAAGCAGUUCUGGAAGUUCUUCAUGAGUGCUGUUGUGACUGCCUCAGUGUUUUGGGCUGAGUCCGAACACGUACUGUUCACAGUCAUUUUAACUUUGAGGAAGAGCCGGAAAUUAUGGUCCCAGAUUCAGUGACUGAGGACACACCAUAAUUUUUAUGUGGCAGAAAUUACCAUAAAUACCUGGUGUAAUGGAAUACAUCUGUCAUCCCAGCACUCAGGAGGCUGAAGCAGAAUAAUCACUGUGAGGUCAAGGCCAGCCUGGGCUAUACAGAGAGACCCUGUCUCAACUCCCCUCUCUCAAAAAUGAAAAAGAAACAAAACAAAAAAAGAAUGACAACAACAAAAACAAAAAGCCCAAA